rnacentral:rRNA from 1 species
UACAGAGGUCCCAAGCGUUGUUCGGAUUCACUGGGCGUAAAGGGUGCGUAGGUGGUGAGGUAAGUCGGAUGUGAAAGCUCGGAGCUCAACUCCGAAAUGGCAUUGGAAACUACCUUGCUAGAGGAUCGGAGGGGAGACUGGAAUUCUCGGUGUAGCAGUGAAAUGCGUAGAUAUCGAGAGGAACACCAGUGGCGAAGGCGAGUCUCUGGACGAUUCCUGACGCUGAGGCACGAAAGCCAGGGGAGCAAACGGG